rnacentral:lncRNA from 1 species
GAGAGACUAUCAUCAUAAGCCCUGGUCUGUCUAAAGCUUCAACUAACAUCAGGUACUAUUAAGAUAUUGAUUGGAUCUGUGGUGUAUUUACUGCGUUUCACUUGCAAAGUGGAUGUGUUGAUUUGAAUGUAUUUCUGUUUGUUUCCUGUGGGAGAUGUGGGCUGGGCUGACCGGGCUGGUAGCCGUGUCCGAAGAGAGGGGGUUACAGAAGCACAGAGAUGGCAUAGCGCAUAUAAACAGACUCACAUGUCUACACGUAUACUGCAUAGCACACAGAGAGAGAGAGGGACGAGGGAGACAGAGAAAGGGGGAGUGCGCGUACGUGUGUUUGUGUGUGUGUUUUGAACUGUGUGAGGUUACGCAGUUGUGGGUAUACAGGGAGUACAGGAGGGGACUGAGGAUGCAGCCUUGUGGGGCCCCAGUGUUCAGGAUCAGUGUGGAGGAGGUAAUGUUGCCUGCCUUCACCACCUGGGGAUGGCCUGUUAGGAAGUCCAGGACCCAGUUGCAUAUGGAGUUCAGUUCUAUAGCCGAGAACUUUCUGGUGAGCUUAGAGGGCAUUAUGGUAUUGAAGGCUGGGCUGUAGUCGAUGAACAGCAUACUCAGAUAUGCAUUCCUUUGGUCCAGGUGGGUGAGGGCAGUGUGCAGUACAAUGGUGAUUGCAUUGGCUGUGAAUCAGUAGGCAAAUUGGAGCAGGUCGAGUGUCUCGGGGAGGCAGGAGGUGAUGUGGUCUUUAAAGCACUUCAUGAUGACAGAAGUGAGUGCUACGGGUCGGUAGUCAUUCAGUUCAGUUACUUUCCCUUUCUUCGGCAUGGCGAUGAUAGUGGACAUCUUGAAGCAGGUGGGGAUAAUGGCUUGAGCUAGAGAGAGAUUGAAAAUGUCAGAAAACAAAACAGCUUGCUGGUCUGCACAUGCUCUGAAUGCGCAGCAAGGGCUGCUGUCUGGACUGGCAGCCUUGCGAGGGUGAAGACGCUUGAAUGACUUAAAUACUUCCUCCUUGGAGACCAUAAGCACAUAGACCUUGUUGUCCUCAGGGGCUCUCCUCGGCAGCUUAGAGUCGUUAUGCUUGAAGCGUGAGAAAAAGGUGUUUAGCUCGUCCAGAAGGGCGGCAUCAGUGACCGCGAUGUGACUGGCUUUCUUUUUCUAAUCUGUUAUCGUUAGAAGCCCCUGCCACACACGCCUUGUGUCCGAUCCGCUGAAUUGCUCCUGCACUUUGUCCCUACAUUUGUGUCUCGCCAUCUUGAUCAAUCUGCGUAAGUCGUAUUUGUACUGUUUAACCUCUCUAGGGUAGGGGGCAGUAUUUGCACGGCUGGAUAAAAAACGCAC